rnacentral:rRNA from 1 species
CAGUCGCCACGGGAAUACGAAGUGGGCUAGCGUUGCUCGGAAUGACUGGGCGUAAAGGGCGCGUAGGCGGCGAUCAAAGUCAGGCGUGAAAUUCCUGGGCUCAACCUGGGGGCUGCGUUUGAUACUUGAUUGCUAGAGUGGGGAAGAGGGUCGUGGAAUUCCCAGUGUAGAGGUGAAAUUCGUAGAUAUUGGGAAGAACACCGGUGGCGAAGGCGGCGACCUGGUCCUUGACUGACGCUGAGGCGCGAAAGCGUGGGGAGCAAACAGGAUUAGAUACCCCGGUAGUCCCUGUCUCUUAUAC